rnacentral:misc_RNA from 1 species
UCGUACAACCGAGGCGUCAGGGCUGUCGCUGACCUUUCAAGGGUCGUGCACGCCCGAGCGUCCUCACAAUCCAUCUCACCCCUUUGUGCAUCACCGCGUGGGUCCGCCCCUUUUGUGGGGAGGGUUCGCGUUUUCACAUAAAACUCGAUACAGUCUAGAAUGUUCAUUUUUGCGGUAACACGCGAUCAAUA